CCAACAAUUCUAUUCUAUCUCAAAAUCACUCAUAGCUAGCUUCUUUGGAUGGAUGAAUCACUCAUAGCUAGCUUCUCUAUUCACUCCAUCUUCUUCUUCUUCUCUGCAACUCCAUUUCACAAAAUUCUGAAUCACUCAGGAACAAAGGACACAUCCAAGGUUUAUCAACAUCCAUGCGCCACAUAUAGAAGGCGUGGAGAUGCUGACACGGGGAAAGAGAGAAAGAGACGGAUAAAAGGGAAUUAGAGAGUUUACGUACCGCCUUUCUUUGGCAAAUUUGACCAAUCAUGGGGACUCAGCUUCAUAUCUGACGCUUGUAUCAAUUCAAGUCGACUGACAAGUUAAAGGACCAGCAGCUUACAAGCUUAUUCAGGUCAGGUACGCUAACCUAAUCAAGACCACGGGUGAAGAAACUGCAGCAAUACAACAACAACAACAUCAACAACACUACGGGUUCCCAUGGAACAUCCUCAAGUUUUUCCUAUUACAUUCAGCUUAAGAAAGGUCACAUUGGGGUAAUUAGAUAUUAGUUCCGUAAAUUUUGACAAUGUUGGUUCACCAAUGUAACAAACCGAGCAUCACAAUAAAAUCUAUAAAGGUGCAAUGUUUCCAUCUACAUUGGCUCCAUUACAAUUCGAUUGUAAGUACA